rnacentral:pre_miRNA from 1 species
GAUUUCAAUAGUAAAAAUAAUCAAUAUCAAAGUUGUAUAACUCAUCAAUACCUAUAACUUUUAUUUGGGUCAUUUCUUCAUCGGACAAAGUAAUAGUAACAUUGUUUACAAAACGUACAUAUCUCUCUUAUAGUUUAUAAACUAUAAGAGAGAUAUGUAAAUUUUGUAAACAAUGUUACUAUUACUUUGUCCGAUGAAGAAAUGACCCAAAUAAAAGUUAUAGGUAUUGAUGAAUUAUACACUUUGAUAUUGAUUAUUUUUACUAUUGAAAUC